UACGGAGGGUGCGAGCGUUAAUCGGAAUUACUGGGCGUAAAGCGUGCGCAGGCGGCUAUGCAAGACAGAUGUGAAAUCCCCGGGCUCAACCUGGGAACUGCAUUUGUGACUGCAAGGCUAGAGUACGGCAGAGGGGGAUGGAAUUCCGCGUGUAGCAGUGAAAUGCGUAGAUAUGCGGAGGAACACCAAUGGCGAAGGCAAUCCCCUGGGCCUGUACUGACGCUCAUGCACGAAAGCGUGGGGAGCAAACAGG
rnacentral:rRNA from 1 species